rnacentral:rRNA from 1 species
CGAACGCUGGCGGCAGGCCUAAUACAUGCAAGUCGAACGGCUCUUCGGAGCAGUGGCGGACGGGUGAGUAACGCGUGGGAAUGUGCCCUUUGGUACGGAACAACACAGGGAAACUUGUGCUAAUACCGUAUGUGCCAUUCGGGGGAAAGAUUUAUCGCCAUUGGAGCAGCCCGCGUUGGAUUAGGUAGUUGGUGAGGUAAAGGCUCACCAAGCCUACGAUCCAUAGCUGGUCUGAGAGGAUGACCAGCCACACUGGGACUGAGACACGGCCCAGACUCCUACGGGAGGCAGCAGUAGGGAAUCUUGCGCAAUGGGCGAAAGCCUGACGCAGCCAUGCCGCGUGUAUGAUGAAGGUCUUAGGAUUGUAAAAUACUUUCACCGGGGAAGAUAAUGACGGUACCCGGAGAAGAAGCCCCGGCUAACUUCGUGCCAGCCGCCGCUGUAAUAC